UACUUAAUAUGUACUGAUGCCACACUACU
rnacentral:piRNA from 1 species